rnacentral:rRNA from 1 species
CCUACGGGCGGCAGCAGUGGGGAAUAUUGCACAAUGGGGGAAACCCUGAUGCAGCGACGCCGCGUGGGCGAGGAAGUACCUCGGUAUGUAAAGCCCUAUCAGCAGGGAAGAAACAGGACAGUACCUGACUAAGAAGCCCCGGCUAACUACGUGCCAGCAGCCGCGGUAAUACGUAGGGGGCAAGCGUUAUCCGGAUUCACUGGGCGUAAAGGGAGCGUAGACGGUUAAGUAAGUCUGGAGUGAAAGGCCGGGGCCCAACCCCGGGACUGCUCUGGAAACUAUUGAACUUGAGUGCAGGAGAGGUAAGCGGAAUUCCUAGUGUAGCGGUGAAAUGCGUAGAUAUUAGGAGGAACACCAGUGGCGAAGGCGGCUUACUGGACUGUAACUGACGUUGAGGCUCGAAAGCGUGGGGAGCAAACAGGAUUAGAUACCCCUGUAGUC